CAUCGAUGGUUCCAUCGAGGCGUCCUCGACGCGACCCCAGGUCAGGCGGGGCUACCCGCUGAGUUUAAGCAUAUCAAUAAGCCGGAGGAA
rnacentral:rRNA from 2 species